rnacentral:misc_RNA from 1 species
UUUUUUCGUCGUGAAUGGAAUGGUAUUGACCAUUUGAGAUUGGACAAGUUUUACUUGCUAAUUAGGAAAUUUCUUAGGGUAGUUUUUGAAUUGAUGAAGAAAUAUGGUUGGAAUUUGGAGAUUAUGGUAAAAUGUAAUGAGAUAUUGGAAAAUAAUGCUUUUCUUGCUACAGAUAAGUUGUUGGGUCAUGGGGUGAAUUAUCAUAUUGCUUCUGUUUUUCUUGAUGAGCUAAAAGGUUGUUUUGUUCCGGUCCAAGAGGAUGUGGUUUUCUGCUUGUUUAAGCCCUUUUUGAGUGUAUUGGGGAAGUCUGAGGAUAAAAUUAUGGUUGGGAAAGUGAAAAAUUGUGUGUUUGAGGAGUUGUUAAAGAUUGGGAGGAGCUUGCUGGAGAGGAGGAAGGAAGGUGUGGAGGUGGAUGAGAGCUAUGAUGAUGUAGCAUUUGGGAUUAUCGCAUUGAAAACAGGGUUUUCAGGAAAGCUUUUUGAGGUUGGUUCAUCCAUGGACUGUGUUCAGGGUAAUAGGAAGGUAGUGUUGAAAUUGCACGAGGAGUUCUUGAGGUUGGAGAAGGAGUUUGAAGCUUCGGGGAUUGAAUUUAGUCUGCCUGAGACGAAUGAGGUUGUUGAUGAUGGUGAAGAUGUGCCUCAGUUAAUACCCAUUGAGGAUAGUUUGACUGGUAAAGUGGGUGAUUUAGAGAAUGAUGAAGGAUUUGGUGAUGAGGCUUUAAGGAAAUGCAAAAAGGUGAAGAGAGCAGUAGAUGGAGGCAGUAAAAAGGCUAAGAAGAAAGAAAAGAAAAAGAAGGUUUCUGAGGAUGACACUUUGGUUGAGGAAAACGAGACCAAUGAGCUCGAGGCUACUAAACGGGAGAAAAAGAAAAAGAAAA